rnacentral:lncRNA from 1 species
CCCCCACAUGCCUGUCUUCAGGCUUUAGAGAUCCUCAACUCCCUGCUCCUGGUGGUUCAUCUCCGCAGCCACCCCGCCCCGAUUCUGCACUGUUUGGAGCAAAUCCCAGACAUGCCAUUGCAUCUGUAAAGAUUUCAGUCUAAAACACAGAGAUUCUUUUUAAGAAAACAUAAUCAAAGUCCUUUCUUGGUCCAACUAACAUUAAUUUCUUCUACGGACAAUUUUGUGUUUCUCUUUUGUGCCAGAUGCUUUGCUAAAAGGAUUUGCAUGUUAUCUCCAUCAUGCAAAGAGAGAGUACCUACUAGCUAUGGUAAUGGACAGUGACAGAAAGGUCUACUAAACAUCCAGAGUCUUCCCAGUUAAAUGUCUGAAGCCAUCCACCAUUACUAAACAGAUACACAGAAGGUGCUGAGUCCAUGGCUUUUGAGGAAGAUGCCCACCUGGCACAGUCCACCUUCCAGUGACUGUACUCUUCCUCUACAUGACCCUGUCUACACCAAAUACAGAACUGCACAUAUGCAAAACUAAAAAUGAAAUGCAUUUUCACGGAGAAGAGGCUUGCAUAACAAAGCAGGUCUUUGCCCUACAAAACAAAAUGAAAAGACAUGGCCACUGAAGACUGACAGGAAAACGAUGCAGUGGAACGGUGGUUCUUAAACUGUGUUCCUGAGAACAAGAUUUUUUUUUUUUUUUUUUGAGACAGGGUCUCGCUCUGUCACCCAGGCUGGAGUGCAGUGGUGUGACUGCGUCUCAUUGCAGCCUUGACCUCCUAAGUGCAAGUGAUCCUUGUGCCUCAGCAUCCCUAGUAGCUGGGUGUGUAUGUGCCACCACGCCAAGCUAAUUUUUACAUUUUGUGUAGAGACAGGGUUUCACUAUACUGCUCAGGCUGGCCUCGAAUGCCUGGGCUCAAGUGAUCCUCCUGUCUUGGUCCCGCAAAGUGCUGCAAUUAUAGGUGUGAGCCACUGAGUCCAGCAAGAAUGUUUGAGAUGGUACAGGAGUCCUACCAAGGCAUCAAACAUUUUCCUUCAAAUAAUAAGAAUUUAAACUGCCUGAGGAAUCUGUUA